rnacentral:tRNA from 1 species
GGGUCGCUAGCUCAAUUGGCAGAGCAACCGACUCUUAAUCCGUAGGUUCAGGGUUCGAUUCCCUGGCGACCCA